rnacentral:rRNA from 1 species
GAACCAGACUCCUACGGGAGGCAGCAGUGGGGAAUAUUGCACAAUGGGGGGAACCCUGAUGCAGCGACGCCGCGUGGGUGAAGGAGCACCUCGGUGCGUAAAGCCCUAUCGGCAGGGAAGAAACAGACGGUACCUGACUAAGAAGCCCCGGCUAACUACGUGCCAGCAGCCGCGGUAAUACGUAGGGGGCAAGCGUUAUCCGGAUUCACUGGGUGUAAAGGGAGCGUAGACGGCGACGCAAGUCUGGAGUGAAAGCCCUGGGCCCAACCCCGGGACUGCUCUGGAAACUGCGGCGCUGGAGUACGGGAGGGGCAGGCGGAAUUCCUGGUGUAGCGGUGAAAUGCGUAGAUAUCAGGAGGAACACCGGCGGCGAAGGCGGCCUGCUGGACCGUGACUGACGUUGAGGCUCGAGAGCGUGGGGAGCAAACAGGAUUAGAUACCCGCGUAAC